UACGUAGGCAGCGAGCGUUGUUCGGAGUUACUGGGCGUAAAGAGUGCGUAGGCGGUGUUCCAAGUCUGUUGUGAAAUCUCCCGGCUCAACUGGGAGGGUGCGGCGGAAACUGGGACGCUGGAGUACGGGAGAGGUAAGCGGAAUUCCUGGUGUAGCGGUGAAAUGCGUAGAUAUCAGGAGGAACACCGUGGUCGGUCAAAGCGGCUUCUGGACCAUAACUGACGCUGAGACGAA
rnacentral:rRNA from 1 species